CUCUCCUCUCUUGUCUUCUGCUAGGAGCUCUGCUAGGGCACGAUCUUCAUCCACUUUCGAGCCAACGAAACCCAUCUAGUGCCUCCUGCUCUACUCUAGUCCUUGUAGCUGCGAUACCUCAUAAAUAGGGUUGGUUGCUUUUGGUACUCCAAAACAGAGAUGGAGGAAAUUCUGGGAGUAUGCCCGGUGGUAGCAGUGGUGCAGCUUAGGGGAUCUGUCUGUGUGACUCUCAGGGUUAACCUAUGGCCCUAAGUGCCUUUUUGUAACCUCAUGCUCUAGAGGAGCAUCGCCUUUUGUUAAACUGUUAACUUUCCAUUAGGUUGUUUAUGGCAUGGUGGUAUGCCUAAAUUUGUUUUCACAGUAUACUUCUGGAUGACUGUAACAAUUACCUUUUCUA